rnacentral:lncRNA from 1 species
CACUAUUUGAAGAAGGUGCUUGCUUUCCCUUCUCUCUUUUGCCAUGAUUGAAAGUUUCCUGAAGCCUCCCCAGCUAUGCUUCCUGUACAACCUGUGGAACUAGGAAAUUUGUUUUGCAACAGAAAACAUAAGAAAUUUUCCCUGCUUGGAAGAUACUCAUACAUACCAGAAACAAGUCAACAUUUUGAUUUCAAACAUCAAAAAAGGUGUCCAGAAAUCUCAAGAAUUUGAGACAUCCUAAGGAACUUUAAGUGCUGUGAGCCACAAGUAACAUCAAGAAAAGACAGGGAUGAAGAACCGCACUUACAAGCUAAGUAAGAUUAAACCCAGCAUGGAGAUAUAUGAAUUAAUAUGAACUCUGAGAAAGAAAUUGGUCAGCUAAAAAAUAUAUGGCUUUCCUGAAUAGACAAAAGAACAAAGAUUUUCCCUUUGGUGUAAGCUCAUCCUACACAUGUCAUUUGGACCAGACCAAGGCUGCUGUCAUGGAGGACCCACACCACAGCUUGGGAACCAUUCAUCUACCAGAGGGUCACAUGACUUCAAAUGACUCUUCUAGGGGCCACCUGCCAUGAUAGGGUACCAGCUCUUCCUCUGAAUUCCCAAUCCAUUUCUUGAGAACUACUGUUUCUAAUAAGAGGGGAAGAAGGUCAUGUGGGAAUCAGUUAAAUCACGUGUGGAUAGAAGACAAGUUCCAGCUUUGUGGGAAAUCCUGUAGCCUUCGCCAGGUACACCCUGACAAUCUCAGAACUGAUCAGGUAGACAAGCUGCAAAGUUUCAUAAAGUCUCAACAACGGCCAACAUGGAAAUUGGAAAAGUUAGAACAAAUAGACCAAGCCUGGGGAAAUUUACUGAACUCUGGGGCUCCCUUCCAAGUAUGGUGAUCGGUAACCCAAAUUAAACUCACUAAGGUGUCCUGAAAAAAAUGGGGUCAAUAAAAGAUAAUGUCAAUCUGGAACACACCCUCUGAAUUGGGACUAAACCCCAAGCCAAUGAAUGGAGAAUGAGCAACAAGUUAUAGCUCCAGGGGCCUGGUAAGAGUGAAGAAGGGAAAAGUCUACAGAAAAAGUAAUAGUUCAGGGAAGACUUUAUCUUAGCAGGAGCAGAAGAAGGGAUGAAGUUAAAUCCAUCCACUGGGACAGGCCAGGUUUGCUGGUGAUUAGAGGAGAAGCCUGCUGUUUAGCCAUUCUGCUUUGUAUAGAGUCUACUUACACAGCUUCAGACUUAGGAUUGGGUUGCCAAGAAGGUGGGGACAUGCAGACACCAAAAUGUGCUGCGUCUCUCUCUGUCUCUCUGUAUCCUCCUACCCACAUGAUGUCCACUGCCCUUUUUGCAGAACUGCAUUCUGGUUUGGCAAUAUCCCAUGUCUUGGACUUUUGCCAAUUGUCUCUUCUUUGCCUCAUUUAAAGCUUUCU